rnacentral:rRNA from 1 species
UACGAGGGGAGCAAGCGUUGUUCGGAUUUACUGGGCGUAAAGGGCGCGUAGGCGGCGUGAUAAGUCACUUGUGAAAUCUCUGGGCUCAACCCAGAACGGUCAAGUGAUACUGUUGUGCUAGAGUGCAGAAGGGGCAACUGGAAUUCUCGGUGUAGCGGUGAAAUGCGUAGAUAUCGGGAGGAACACCUGCGGCGAAGGCGGGUUGCUGGGCUGACACUGACGCUGAGGCGCGAAAGCUAGGGGAGCGAACGGG